GACUAAGAUCAUACUUUGUCUUUUUCUCUGAAUCAGACUUCUCUCCUUGUCUUCGUUUACAUACAGCUGAGAAAACUGAAUUAUUGACAUGAACGUGUCCUCCUCCCCAACACUAGGGGGCGAUAUGGGUCUUUUCAGCGGCGCUGUUUCCGACCCCAUACAACCGUCAACAACAACAGCAGGUCGGUGUCAGACGUCAGAAGUGUCUACAACUGCUGCUGGGCAUUUUGGAGAAACAAGAAGAUGGAGCAUCGUACAGCGUUGUUUUUGUCCGACAUGAUGGACGCGCUACUUUUUCUAAAGAGGAGACCAACGCUACUCCUCUACUCUGGGGGUUUUGUUACGGGGGUUACGGGGGCGUGGCCUGUAACUGAUCAUACUCCGACUACGCUGGUUACAGGGUAGAGAAAAUCGAAUUCCAAUCACAUUAUCUGGGUGUCCAAUCGGAGUUCUACGACUCCAAUUAUAGUCAAACUAAUGCACUUCAGUUGUCCGGUCUUAAUCGGAAUAAGGCGAUAAUUCGGUUUUC
rnacentral:lncRNA from 1 species